AUUGCACGCUGGCGGCAGGCUUAACACAUGCAAGUCGAACGAGUGGCGGACGGGUGAGUAAUGCUUCGGAAUCUCGCUUAUGGAGGGGGAUCACUACGGGAAACUGUCGCUAAUACCGCGUACCAUAGGAUGCGCCCAAGUGGGAUUAGGUAGUUGGUGCGGUAAAGGCUCCCCAGGCCGUCGAUCUCUAGCUGGUCUGAGAGGAUGACCAGCCAAACUGCGACUGAGACACGGCCCAGACCCCGACGGGAGGCAGCAGGGGGGAAUACGGCGCAAGGGGGUACACCUGACGCAGCCAUGCCUCGUGAAUGAAGAAGGAGUCCGGGUUGUAAAGGUCUGUCGGUAGAGAGGCGUAAACUACAGAAGAAGCACCGGCUAAACCCGUGUCAGCAGCCGCGGUAAUAC
rnacentral:rRNA from 1 species